CCGAGAACCAACUCAACAUCACUUCCCACCUUCUGGAUCUGUGAUCUGCACAGGGACACAUCUUCAGGAUAUUGCUGCAGGUAAUUCUUCGUCCGUGCGGGCAUUCGGUUUUUGAACGGUUUGUGUAGGAAGGUUCUGGGAAACGCGGAUCAAAGAGCAAGGUGACCUAUCCUUCGGGGAAGUGGAUCUCAUAUCACUCAGACAGUCCCCAGGGCGGCUGAGUGCGGCGGA